AGAGUUUGAUCCUGGCUCAGGAUGAACGCUGGCGGCGUGCUUAACACAUGCAAGUCGAACGAAGCACUCUAUUUGAUUUUCUUCGGAAAUGAAGAUUUUGUGACUGAGUGGCGGACGGGUGAGUAACGCGUGGGUAACCUGCCUUGUACAGGGGGAUAACAGUCAGAAAUGACUGCUAAUACCGCAUAAGCGCACAGGAUUGCAUGAUCCGGUGUGAAAAACUCCGGUGGUAUGGGAUGGACCCGCGUCUGAUUAGCCAGUUGGCAGGGUAACGGCCUACCAAAGCGACGAUCAGUAGCCGACCUGAGAGGGUGACCGGCCACAUUGGGACUGAGACACGGCCCAAACUCCUACGGGAGGCAGCAGUGGGGAAUAUUGCACAAUGGGGGAAACCCUGAUGCAGCGACGCCGCGUGAGCGAAGAAGUAUUUCGGUAUGUAAAGCUCUAUCAGCAGGGAAGAAGAAUGACGGUACCUGACUAAGAAGCACCGGCUAAAUACGUGCCAGCAGCCGCGGUAAUACGUAUGGUGCAAGCGUUAUCCGGAUUUACUGGGUGUAAAGGGAGCGCAGGCGGUGCGGCAAGUCUGAUGUGAAAGCCCGGGGCUCAACCCCGGUACUGCAUUGGAAACUGUCGUACUAGAGUGUCGGAGGGGUAAGUGGAAUUCCUAGUGUAGCGGUGAAAUGCGUAGAUAUUAGGAGGAACACCAGUGGCGAAGGCGGCUUACUGGACGGUAACUGACGUUGAGGCUCGAAAGCGUGGGGAGCAAACAGGAUUAGAUACCCUGGUAGUCCACGCCGUAAACG
rnacentral:rRNA from 1 species